rnacentral:rRNA from 1 species
CAGUAGCCGCGGUAAUACGUAGGUCCCGAGCGUUGUCCGGAUUUAUUGGGCGUAAAGGGAGCGCAGGCGGUUUAGUAAGUCUGAAGUUAAAGGCAUUGGCUCAACCAAUGUAUGCUUUGGAAACUGUUAGACUUGAGUGCAGAAGGGGAGAGUGGAAUUCCAUGUGUAGCGGUGAAAUGCGUAGAUAUAUGGAGGAACACCAGUGGCGAAGGCGGCUUUCUGGACUGCAACUGACGCUGAGGCUCGAAAGCCAGGGGAGCGAACGGGAUUAGAUACCCCUGUAGUCCCUGUCUCUUAUACA